ACAUUCCACAUGCUCACAACAACAGGUGCAGCAAGUGAAGGUGCAGGCAGUGGGAGACCCAGCAGCGGGGCCGAUCCACACGCUACACGAGGAGGAGGAGGAAGCGAUGGUCCCUCUUGUGCUGCGAAGGCAAAGGGGCAGGAGCGACCUGGUUGGAAUAAUUGCUGGCCAUGAAAGUGGAACUGCUGAAGGCACCAGUCCUUCCUGUGCAUGUGCUGGGAAGCCCGUAGGGAGCUGCGGGGUGCAAUGUCACCCCACCCUGCAGUGUGGUGGGGGAAGGAACCAGUGGUGGCUGUCAGUGAAAGGAUCAUUCCCCCAGUUGGCCCCAGCAGAGAGGAAAGUGGAUUGCUCUCAUCACGCAGUGCGCCCAUACUGGUAAACUGAAUCGCCCUGGGAUUUUGGAAGUAAUUACAAAUUGGCCCGAAGGUGAAAGUUUUGGUGUCACAGAUGAAGAAGAACCAGUGACACAGGCUGAAGAAGCUCCACCAUAUAACCAACUGCCAGCAGAGGAAACACGUUACGCUCUAUUCACUGACGGUUCCUGUCGCA